rnacentral:tRNA from 1 species
GGCGAGAUGCCGGAGUGGUUGAACGGGGUGGUCUCGAAAACCGCUAUACCCCAAAAGGGUAUCGGAGGUUCGAAUCCUCCUCUCGCCG